UUGAAGGAUUUGUACGAAAUGUUUGAGAGAACUGAGUGAGUGUUAAACACUCAAACAUUUUUCUACAAAUCCUUCCA